AGUGAUCAUUGGCGGCAGGCUUAACACAUGCAAGUCGAGCGAGGCUAAGAGCCGAGCGGCGAACGGGUGAGUAAUACUUGGGCAUCUACCCCGGAUUGUGGGACAACGUUCAGAAAUGGUCGCUAAUACCACAUAAUCAAUAUUGGGAAAGCGCGCAGCGCUCUGGGAUGAGCCCAUGUCUGAUUAGCUAGUUGGUGGGGUAAAGGCCUACCAAGGCGACGAUCAGUAGCUGGUCUGAGAGGAUGAUCAGCCACACUGGAACUGAGACACGGUCCAGACUCCUACGGGAGGCAGCAGUGGGGAAUAUUGGACAAUGGGGGCAACCCUGAUCCAGCCAUGCCGCGUGUGCGAUGAAGGCCCUAGGGUUGUAAAGCACUUUUGGCGGGGACGACGAUGACGGUACCCGCAGAAUAAGUCACGGCUAACUUCGUGCCAGCAGCCGCGGUAA
rnacentral:rRNA from 1 species